rnacentral:lncRNA from 1 species
GUGCCGAAAGAUUCGUUCUUAGUUACUCUUGAUGUGUCCUCAUUGUAUACAAAUAUCCCUCACGAUGAUGGCAUAGCGGCAUUAAAAAACCUGUACACACACCAUAGACAGCCUGACACCCCAGAUUUCCCUGCGAUCGCAAGCCUCACAAGACUU